CUUCAGCGAACCCAGCCACAGCGGCUGCCCCUCCGGACGCUCCUGCCCGUAGGUCUCCAGGAGGGCCUGGGCCUC
rnacentral:antisense_RNA from 1 species